GACGAACGCUGGCGGCGUGCCUAAUACAUGCAAGUCGAACGAGUGGCGGACGGGUGAGUAACACGUGGGAACCUACCCAUCAGAGGGGGAUAACAUUUGGAAACAGGUGCUAAUACCGCAUACUGAUGGAUGGACCCGGGGGGCAUUAGCUAGUUGGUGGGGUAAUGGUUCACAAAGGCUAUGACGCAUAACUGGUCUGAGAGGAUGAUCAGUCACACUGGAACUGAGACACGGUCCAGCCUCCUACGGGAGGCAGCAGUGGGGAAUAUUGCACAAUGGGCGCAAGCCUGAUGCAGCCAUGCCGCGUGUGUGAAGAAGGCCUUCGGGUUGUAAAGCACUUUCAGCGAGGAGGCGUUACUCGCAGAAGAAGCACCGGCUAACUCCGUGCCAGCAGCCGCGGUAAUAC
rnacentral:rRNA from 1 species